rnacentral:rRNA from 1 species
GGAGGAUCCGAGCGUUAUCCGGAUUUAUUGGGUUUAAAGGGUGCGUAGGCGGAAUGGUAAGUCAGAGGUGAAGUCCUGCAGCUCAACUGUAGAAUAGCCUUUGAAACUGUCAUUCUUGAGUACAUUUGAGGUAGGCGGAAUGUGGUGUGUAGCGGUGAAAUGCAUAGAUAUACCACAGAACACCGAUUGCGAAGGCAGCUUACUAAACUGUAACUGACGCUGAGGCACGAAAGCGUGGGUAUCAAACAGGAUUAGAUACCCUGGUAGUCCACGCUGUAAACGAUGAUUACUGGUUGUUUGCGAUACACAGCAAGUGACUGAGCGAAAGCAUUAAGUAAUCCACCUGGGGAGUACGUCGGCAACGAUGAAACUCAAAGGAAUUGACGGGGGCCCGCACAAGCGGAGGAACAUGUGGUUUAAUUCGAUGAUACGCGAGGAACCUUACCUGGGUUUAAAUGGGAAGUGACAGGCUUGGAAACAGGCCCUUCUUCGGACACUUUUCAAGGUGCUGCAUGGUUGUCGUCAGCUCGUGCCGUGAGGUGUCGGGUUAAGUCCCAUAACGAGCGCAACCCCUAUCGAUAGUUACCAGCACGUUAAGGUGGGGACUCUAUCGAGACUGCCGGUGUAAACCGUGAGGAAGGUGGGGAUGACGUCAAAUCAGCACGGCCCUUACAUCCAGGGCUACACACGUGUUACAAUGGCCGGUACAAAGGGCAGCUACCCCGCGAGGGGAUGCGAAUCUUGAAAGCCGGUCUCAGUUCGGAUCGAAGUCUGCAACCCGACUUCGUGAAGCUGGAUUCGCUAGUAAUCGCGCAUCAGCCAUGGCGCGGUGAAUACGUUCCCGGGCCUU